GCCGCAGUGGCGCAACGGAUAGCGCGUCUCGUUUCUACCCAGAAGGUUGUGGGUUCGAAUCCCACUUGCGGUA
rfam:Echinococcus multilocularis genomic scaffold, pathogen_EmW_scaffold_09